GAGGACAUUGGAAACAGUUCUUAGAGCGGUCACAUGACCCUCUUCUGGGUGGUUCAUCCAGCCCCAGAACUUGCCCUAUUUUGGUCAAAUCUGUUCUAGGGGCAGUUCUCUGUGGCCGAAACCCUCCCAAUUGGUAGAGGGCAUUGGGGGAAGUUCUUAGAGGGGUCACACGGACCACUUGCAGACAGGUGACCCUGCCCCAGAACUCCCCCAGUUGGUCAAAUAUCCUCUUAGGAGUGGGUCCCAGCAGCUGAAACCCCU